rnacentral:rRNA from 1 species
UACAGAGGGGGCAAGCGUUAUUCGGAAUUAUUGGGCGUAAAGGGCGCGUAGGCGGCUUGGCAAGUGGAUGGUGAAAUCCCUCGGCUUAACCGAGGAACUGCCGUCCAAACUGCUUUGCUUGAGGCCGGGAGAGGCGAGUGGAGUUCCCAGUGUAGCGGUGAAAUGCGUAGAUAUUGGGAGGAACACCAGUGGCGAAGGCGGCUCGCUGGACCGGUUCUGACGCUGAUGCGCGAAAGCGUGGGGAGCAAACGGG